GACGGAGGGUGCAAGCGUUGUUCGGAUUGACUGGGCGUAAAGGGCGUGUAGGCGGUCGGCCAAGUCUGAUGUGAAAGCCCGAGGCUCAGCCUCGGAAGUGCGUCGGAAACUAGUCGGCUGGAGCGCGAUAGAGGAGGGUGGAAUUCCUGGUGUAGCGGUGAAAUGCGCAGAUAUCAGGAAGAACACCCGUGGCUAAGGCGGCUCUCUAGUACGGUACUGACGCUGAGACGCGAAAGCGUGGGGAGCGAACAGG
rnacentral:rRNA from 1 species